rnacentral:rRNA from 1 species
AUUGAACGCUGGCGGCAGGCCUAACACAUGCAAGUCGAGCGAGCGGCGGACGGGUGAGUAAUGUCUGUGAAACUGCCUGAUGGAGGGGGAUAACUACUGGAAACGGUAGCUAAUACCGCAUACCAUCAGAUGUUCCCCGAUGGGAUGAGCUGGUGGGUGGGGUAACGGCUCCCCUAGGCGACGAAACCUAGCUGGUCUGAGAGGAUGACCAGCAACACUGGAACUGAGAAACGGCCCAGCCCCCUACGGGAGGCGGAAGUGGGGAAUAUUGCACAAUGGCGGCAAGCCUGCGGCAGCCAUGCGGCGUGGGUGAGGAAGGCCUUCGGGUUGUAAAGCACUUUCAGCGGGGAGGCGUUACCCGCAUAAGAAGCACCGGCUAACUCCGUGCCAGCAGCCGCGGUAAUAC